rnacentral:misc_RNA from 1 species
UUUCCGUAGGUGAACCUGCGGAAGGAUCAUUACAGAGCAUAUGCCAUUCGGGGUAGAUCUCCCACUCUUUGUUGAUAUUAUCUUUGUUGCUUUGACAGGCCCGACUUCGGACCAUCGGCUUCGGCUGGUCAGUGCUUGCCAGAGUACCCAAAACUCUUCUUAUUAAGGUCGUCUGAGUACUAUAUAAUAGAUAAAAAUUUCAACAACGGAUCUCUUGGUUCUG